rnacentral:rRNA from 1 species
GUAGGGGGCAAGCGUUGUCCGGAUUUAUUGGGCGUAAAGAGCUCGUAGGUGGUUCGGUAAGUCGGGUGUGAAAACUCUGGGCUCAACCCAGAGACGCCACCCGAUACUGCUGUGACUUGAGUCUGGUAGGGGAGUGUGGAAUUCCCAGUGUAGCGGUGAAAUGCGCAGAUAUUGGGAGGAACACCAGUGGCGAAGGCGGCACUCUGGGCCAGAACUGACACUGAGGAGCGAAAGCGUGGGUAGCGAACAGGAUUAGAUACCCUGGUAGUCCACGCCGUAAACGUUGGGCACUAGGUGUGGGUCUCAACCAACGGGAUCCGUGCCGCAGCUAACGCAUUAAGUGCCCCGCCUGGGGAGUACGGCCGCAAGGCUA